rnacentral:rRNA from 1 species
CUAUUCAACCUCAGAUCAGGUAGGACUACCCGCUGAACUUAA